ensembl:lncRNA
CCUGAAACCAGGAGACUGGGUCCUCAUUAAGGAUCACUGGAGAAAGCACUGGAAGCAGAGACGCUACACGGGGCCCUUCCAAGUACCCCUGACCACGGAGACGGCAGUAAGGUGGAAGGGAAAGCAACGUGGGUCCACGCCAGCCACUGCAAACGCAUCCCGGAUCCAGGAGGCGAAGGAGCACAUCCAUCUGGUUCCGGUUAAGGGGUUGCAGGGUGGAGAGCCCUCCCCCACUGCAGUGUUCCAAGACACCAACGGGCCCAGCAGAGAUGGCAGAGACGGCAGGGACGGCAGAGACGACGGCCACCCGGAGAACAGCGAUAAAAGACAGAUCUCCAGCGCCAAAGAACACUUAGGAAGCAUGGUUGGAGCCUGAGAAUGAACAUGUGCAUAUCACUGACGCUGGCAACAUUUGUGCUGAUUCCCCUCACGAUCAAUGAACUACAACCUCCUUAUGUGAACAUCACGGAUUCCAGCCUUUCCACCUCUCCAAUAGAGAAUUUCAGGAAGUUUCCACUGUCCAGCAAAACAAUGCGACGAGACAGAGUGUUUGCUCUACACAAUCGAACAUGAUGCAUGGGUUAAAAUAGAAAGUCACUUAAAUGAAAUUGUGUAUGUUGCCAGGUUGGGAGAAGAAUAUGUACUGUGUGGGUGCCCGGAAGAUUUGGUUUAGGAGAUCCACCAUUCUGGUGCAGUAAACCACGAUCGUGUCAGGAGAUACCAGCCCACACUGGCUCCAGCAACUGGAGGGAGGCAUGCAAAAGAACUUACCGGCCUGUCAGCGAGACACAGCCUAAAACAGUACCACCUGAAAUCAUUUACGAGGCCGUUAAACCACAGGCCCUGACCUCCUGCAGGCCAGAACAGCCCCCACCAAAGCAACUUGGAGGCGAGUGUUGAUCUCUCUCAAUUGUCCGAGAGGGGGGACUGAGAAGGAGGGUUGUAAAGUUUACAUGUCACGGCUGAGCACGCCGCACUUAGGUCGCUGGUCAGUCCUGGACUCGGAGGAUUUUAGGACUCAGACAAACGACACUUGCACGGUGACUCUAAGCCCUAAAUAUGACACGAGUGGGGAAUACCGUUCUGGUGCGCUCAACCUGCAGACUGUACAACAGAACCAGCCCAUUUCACUCGGUUAGAUUGGCAGUAUGCGUGCAACAUAUGCCCAUUUCAUCUAGAGCACCUAUGCUGGUUCCUGUUCCAUUCACGGAAGCCGACUGGGAUGUCAUGGGGUGGCCUGAGCUAUCUCAUCGAUUUGUGAGUAAUGAUGAAGACUGUUACACUCCUCCACUGCACACGGCGACAACAGCGCAAAGCACAGUUGCCUAUGGAGGUGAAAAGGGGGAAGUUGUAUGUUUUGCAGUUAAGCGGUUCAAUCAUGAAAAUAGACCUAUAGAUAUUAAUUAAUUAAUUAUAGGUAUUAAUUUAAUAAUAUUAAAGUGAUGUUGGUUAGAUUCCGGUCCAUCCCUUAACCAACGUUAUCACUUUCUAGGUGGUUCCUCUCUAGGUACGAGUGACUGUAGUAAAUUACAUCAAACACAUGGUACUACAAAAUAGAAUGGCUCUGGACCUCGUUCUGGCCUCACAAGGCUUGGUAUGCAAAGUGAUUCAUACUGUAUGUUGCGCUUACAUCUCCGAUGCAACAUCAUCAGUUUAUGAUGUGGUGGCAGACACAGAACGGGGCAGUAAGGAAUUGCAUGACCACGACUGGAAUCCGUUUGGGGAAAUACAGGCAUUUGUUGGAUCAUAGGGACCUUCUCUCUUCAAGGAACUGCUAUGGGAAUUAGGGGGCAUUAAUCUGUCUGUAAUUGUUAUAACCCUAAUUGUAACUGUUUUAAAGCUCUUGUAAGGAAGGUUGUUAGCACUCAUGUAUCAGUUGAACACACAAGUACUACUAUACGGUGUCCGGUUCAGAAAUGGACUCCAUAUCCAUACACCAUAUCCGGAUAGCUCUGACAGUGAUGAUGAGUGUGAGGAUUGUGUGUAACUAGACAGCAUGUAUGGUGUUAAUGUUUAGCAAGAGUUUUCAAAGUACUUAGAAGUUAAUGAUGUGAUGUUCUGAAUCUUCGUGAAUUUACACCACUGAUGUGUGUUCUAAGAGGUUUUUUUGUUGUUUAAUUUUCUUUCUUAAUUUCGAUUUGGUUGUUGUUUAGAGUUUCUUAAGUUGAUUCCUGAUUGUCUAAAAAUGACAAAAAGAGAGGGAUGUUGGGGGAAAAUUGUUGAGCCUGCGUGGGGUGAGGCUCUCAGGAAUGUUACCUUUGAUGUGAGCCGGUGACUUAAGGCAGUCCAGGGUGAGAUAAGACACAGAUGAAAACAUGCGUGCCCUGACUGACCUUUUAGAUGUUGUUGAUUGUCUGGGUCCAUAAAGGGAGGGUCACAGGGUCACCCCUACAUCAUCUGCUACUUUUCCCACAUUCCUCUUGAGGGGUGGGCUGUCCUGUCCUGAGGCAGCACAAACCCCCCUAAGUGUAUAAAACCUCCUGUUCUCCUCUUUGACUUUGUCAGAUCUUCCUGCUCCUUUUGGGGGAAGGAACCUCUGUCCCUUUUCAGCUGAAUUGUAGUCAUUUGACCUCUGUCUGUGCUUACGACUUGUGCUGAUGAUUUCUAUAUUCUUUAUCUUUUUCCUAUACUCUAGUUAGUAAUAAAUACUUAAUCACAAAGCAAGCUCAAGAUACUUUUGAUUUCUCACAUGGGCUAAAUCCACAAAUUUCCACCACACU